rnacentral:lncRNA from 1 species
GUCGCCGGAAGCCGCGUCGAGAUGCCGGAGCCCCCGGGCCUUGGAGAUGAAGGCAGGCCCCUGCUCCACCCAGGAAGGAGGGAGGCAGUGGGCUCGUGGGUCAGUGCCUUUGCAGCCGACAGCACGCCUUGCGGCCCUGGGGAAUCUUUCUGCGCCCUGGCGAGCGCCUUUCCGCCUCACUGCAUUGUAACCCCAUUCCCGAUCACCGGGUGGGAUCCAUCAUCGGAUCCCAAGAGGAGUCCGCGCAGCCCAGCCGGCACCCCGAAGCUCCUCCUUCACCGGGAACCCAAGCAGAAGACCGAUUAAGGAGGUCCUGACGACAGGACUCCUAUGGGUCCGACCCUGGGUCUCCCGCAGGCCCCUCUGGUAGUCCUCUUCCCACCCACCGCCUGGGGCUGCACCACAGCCGCCGCCGCAAGCUCCAGCACCGCCACCCCAGUCCCCGCAGCCGCGGCGUCGCCGCCAUUUUUUAAAGGGUCCGCAGCCUGACUGCCGAGUAAGGGGGGGUGGGGCGGGUGAGUCGGCCUCGCCAGCGCGCAUGCGCGAGGCCCGAGCCGCCGCUUCGGUCACAGUGACCGCCACCGUUGCCAAGGGAUGGGUCCCUGAGACUUGGCGAAGUGGGAGCCCUGUGUGAUCGUGCGUCAGAGUCGGGGCUGAGACCAGCCCCGGCCAGGGUAGUUACCGGGACGGUCUCCGGAGGCCGGGAUUCGCGGAGGGUCCACCAGCAGGAAGAAACCCCAGGAGGAAGAAACCUCAGACAGAUCGCCGGGGAGGCAGCGCGGGAUCCCAGCCUCAGGCGUGCGCGGACGGUGUGCGGAGUCUAGCUUUGUACCAGGCUGCAGUGCAGUAGUGCCAUCUCAGCUCACUGCAACCUCUGCCUCCCGGGUUCAAGAGAUUGUCCUGCCUCAGCCUCCCGAGUAGCUGGGAUUACAGGCACAUGCCACCACACCCAGCUAAUGUUUGUAUUUUUAGUAGACACGGGGUUUCAUCAUGUUGCCCAGGAUGGUCUCAAUUUCCUGACCUCGUGAUCCGCACAUCUCGGCCUCCCAAAAUGCUGGGAUUACAGGCAUGAGCCACCAGAACCGGACAUGCUUUCCUUAAAAGCUAAAUAUUUUAGGCUUGUGUGCCAUUAGGCUCUGUUACAACUACUUAAUUCUGCUUUUGUAAUUCUAUAGCACCCAUUGAUAAUACAUAAACAAAUGAGCAUGAAUGUAUCUCAGUAAAAAUUUGUUCACAUAAACAGGCAGUCCACCCAUGAAGCUAUAGCUUGCUGACCCCUUGUUUAAACAAUCAAUUGAAUUCAAACAGAAAUAAAAGGAUCUUAUAUAUUUAACCAUGUUGAUACCAUUUCCAGUGCUUUUCAUUCUUCUAUGUAGAUCCAAAUUUCCUUUUGAUAUUAUUUUACGUCUGCCUGAAACAUUUUCUUUAACAUUUUUUAUAGUGCUGUUUUACUGGUGAUGAUUUAUUUCAGGUUCUAAGUGCCAGAACAAAAUCUUUAUUUCACCUACAUCUUGAAAGAUAGUUUCUCUGAGUCUACAAUUUCCAGCUGACAAUGUUUAUCUUCCAGUACUUUAAAGAUGUUGCUUCAUUAUCUUCUAAUUUUCUUUGUUUCCAAUAAAAUGUUUGCUGGCAUUUUUUGUUCCUCUGUGCAAACCGUGUUUUUGUCAUUGGCUGCUUUGAGAAUUUUUCUUUAUCACUAGUUUUAAGCAAUUUUAUUUUAGUGUAUUUUGUGCACAAGACAAGGAUGCCCUCUCUCACCACUCCUGUUCAACAUAGUAUUGGAAGUCCUUGCCAAAACAGUUAGGCAAGAGAAAGAAAUAAAGGUACCCAAAUAGGAAG